CACAUUUUACCUUCGUGCACCUGAAGACAGAUGAGGAAUCAUCAGGACUCUGGAAGAGGAAGAAGAGAAGCCUUAUCUGUGAUCCAGAGGGAAGUUGGGACCUCUGGACUCCAGAUGACAACAGCCAUUUGUCCUUGUUGCUGUUACAGCUGUGUAGACCAUUCAGACCAAAAUUCCAGGAAAUCAGCUGUGGGUAAGAGAAGUUAACUGACCACAAGAAGACUUAAUCCAUGGAUCAGUUCACAUUUCUUAUUUGUUCUUGUGCAACCUAUCAAACAGUCAUGGCUGCAGAAAGGGCUUUUAGAAUUAUCCCAUUC